rnacentral:rRNA from 1 species
CGGGCGUCUUAACAUGCAAGUAGAACGCUGAAGAGAGGAGCUUGCUCUUCUUGGAUGAGUUGCGAACGGGUGAGUAACGCGUAGGUAACCUGCCUUGUAGCGGGGGAUAACUAUUGGAAACGAUAGCUAAUACCGCAUAACAAUGGAUGACACAUGUCAUUUAUUUGAAAGGGGCAAUUGCUCCACUACAAGAUGGACCUGCGUUGUAUUAGCUAGUAGGUGAGGUAACGGCUCACCUAGGCGACGAUACAUAGCCGACCUGAGAGGGUGAUCGGCCACACUGGGACUGAGACACGGCCCAGACUCCUACGGGAGGCAGCAGUGGGGAAUCUUCGGCAAUGGGGGCAACCCUGACCGAGCAACGCCGCGUGAGUAAAGAAGGUUUUCGGAUCGUAGAGCUCUGUUGUAAGUCAAGAACGAGUGUGAGAGUGGAAAGUUCACGCUGUGACGGUAGCUUACCAGAAAGGGACGGCUAACUACAA